UACAGAGGAGCCAAGCGUUGUCCGGAUUGACUGGGCGUAAAGCGCACGCAGGCGGUCGCGCGCGUGGGGUGUGAAAUCUGGCCGCUUAACGGCCAGGCGCCAUCCCAUACGGCACGACUGGAGUGAUGCAGAGGUCGAUGGAAUUGCCGGUGUAGUGGUGAAAUGCGUAGAGAUCGGCAGGAACACCCGUGGCGAAGGCGGCCACCUAGCCCACUCCUGACGCUGAGGCGCGACAGCGUGGGGAGCGAACUGG
rnacentral:rRNA from 1 species